UGGGGAAUCUUGGACAAUGGGGGCAACCCUGAUCCAGCCAUGCCGCGUGAGUGAUGAAGGCCUUAGGGUCGUAAAGCUCUUUCGCCUGUGAAGAUAAUGACGGUACCUAGUAAAGAAGUCCCGGCUAACUCCGUGCCAGCAGCCGCGGUAAUACGGAGGGGGUUAGCGUUGUUCGAAUUACUGGGCGUAAAGCGCACGUAGGCGGACCAGAAAGUUGGGGGUGAAAUCCCGGGGGCUCAACCCCGGAACUGCCUCCAAAACUAUUGGUCUAGAGUUCGAGAGAGGUGAGUGGAAUUCCAAGUGUAGAGGUGAAAUUCGUAGAUAUUUGGAGGAACACCAGUGGCGAAGGCGGCUCACUGGCUCGAUACUGACGCUGAGGUGCGAAAGUGUGGGGAGCAAACAGGAUUAGAUACCCUGGUAGUCCACACCGUAAAACGAUGAAUGCCAGUCGUCGGGUAGCAUGCUAUUCGGUGACACACCUAACGGAUUAAGCAUUCCGCCUGGGGAGUACGGUCGCAAGAUUAAAA
rnacentral:rRNA from 1 species